UGUGCUUGCCCUGACCCAGCUGCCUGCUGCCUGGGGUGCCUGGCUAAAGGUGGCACCGACACAAGCUAACCCAAAGUGACAUGUGCCUGGCGGGGCCGUCAGCCUCUACAAA
rnacentral:lncRNA from 1 species